AACGAACGCUGGCGGCGUGCUUAACACAUGCAAGUCGAACGGAAAGGCCCUGCUUUUGUGGGGUGCUCGACUGGCGAACGGGUGAGUAACACGUGAGUAACCUGCCCUUGACUUUGGGAUAACUUCAUGAAACUGGGGCUAAUACCGGAUAGGAGCUCCUGCUGCAUGGUGGGGGUUGGAAAGUUUCGCCGGUUGGGGAUGGACUCGCGGCUUAUCGGCUUGUUGGUGGGGUAGUGGCUUACCAAGGCUUGGACGCGUAGCCGGCCUGAGAGGGGGAGCGGCCACAUUGCGCUUGAGAUACGACACAGACUCCACUCGGACGGAGGAGUGGAGAGUAGUGUACUAUGCGAGGAAGGCAGAUGCAGCAACGCCGCGUCGGGGAUGAGGUGCUGGGGGUUGGGUAGUGAAGUCGUCUGUGACGAAGCGUGAGUGACGGUACUGGGUGAAGAAGCACCGGCUAACUACGUG
rnacentral:rRNA from 1 species